rnacentral:rRNA from 1 species
CCUACGGGAGGCAGCAGUGAGGAAUAUUGGGCAAUGGACGAGAGUCUGAACCAGCCAAGUAGCGUGAAGGAUGACUGCCCGAGGGGAUGUAAACUUCUUUUAUAGGGGAAUAAAAUGUGCCACGUGUGGGAUUUUGUAUGUACCAUAUGAAUAAGGAUCGGCUAACUCCGUGCCAGCAGCCGCGGUAAUACGGAGGAUCCGAGCGUUAUCCGGAUUUAUUGGGUUUAAAGGGAGCGUAGGUGGAUUGUUAAGUCAGUUGUGAAAGUUUGCGGCUCAACCGUAAAAUUGCAGUUGAAACUGGCAGUCUUGCGUACAGUAGAGGUGGGCGGAAUUCGUGUUGUCGCGGUUAACUGCUUAGAUCUCACG